CUAACGUCCGUCGUGAAGAGGGAAACAACCCAGACCGCCAGCUAAGGUCCCAAAGUCAUGGUUAAGUGGGAAACGAUGUGGGAAGGCCCAGACAGCCAGGAUGUUGGCUUAGAAGCAGCCAUCAUUUAAAGAAAGCGUAAUAGCUCACUGGUCGAGUCGGCCUGCGCGGAAGAUGUAACGGGGCUAAACCAUGCACCGAAGCUGCGGCAGCGACGCUUAUGCGUUGUUGGGUAGGGGAGCGUUCUGUAAGCCUGUGAAGGUGUGCUGUGAGGUAUGCUGGAGGUAUCAGAAGUGCGAAUGCUGACAUAAGUAACGAUAAAGCGGGUGAAAAGCCCGCUCGCCGGAAGACCAAGGGUUCCUGUCCAACGUUAAUCGGGGCAGGGUGAGUCGACCCCUAAGGCGAGGCCGAAAGGCGUAGUCGAUGGGAAACAGGUUAAUAUUCCUGUACUUGGUGUUACUGCGAAGGGGGGACGGAGAAGGCUAUGUUGGCCGGGCGACGGUUGUCCCGGUUUAAGCGUGUAGGCUGGUUUUCCAGGCAAAUCCGGAAAAUCAAGGCCGAGGCGUGAUGACGAGGCACUACGGUGCUGAAGCAACAAAUGCCCUGCUUCCAGGAAAAGCCUCUAAGCAUCAGGUAACAUCAAAUCGUACCCCAAACCGACACAGGUGGUCAGGUAGAGAAUACCAAGGCGCUUGAGAGAACUCGGGUGAAGGAACUAGGCAAAAUGGUGCCGUAACUUCGGGAGAAGGCACGCUGAUACGUAGGUGAAGCGACUUGCUCGUGGAGCUGAAAUCAGUCGAAGAUACCAGCUGGCUGCAACUGUUUAUUAAAAACACAGCACUGUGCAAACACGAAAGUGGACGUAUACGGUGUGACGCCUGCCCGGUGCCGGAAGGUUAAUUGAUGGGGUUAGCGCAAGCGAAGCUCUUGAUCGAAGCCCCGGUAAACGGCGGCCGUAACUAUAACGGUCCUAAGGUAGCGAAAUUCCUUGUCGGGUAAGUUCCGACCUGCACGAAUGGCGUAAUGAUGGCCAGGCUGUCUCCACCCGAGACUCAGUGAAAUUGAACUCGCUGUGAAGAUGCAGUGUACCCGCGGCAAGACGGAAAGACCCCGUGAACCUUUACUAUAGCUUGACACUGAACAUUGAGCCUUGAUGUGUAGGAUAGGUGGGAGGCUUUGAAGUGUGGACGCCAGUCUGCAUGGAGCCGACCUUGAAAUACCACCCUUUAAUGUUUGAUGUUCUAACGUGGACCCGUGAUCCGGGUUGCGGACAGUGUCUGGUGGGUAGUUUGACUGGGGCGGUCUCCUCCUAAAGAGUAACGGAG
rnacentral:rRNA from 1 species